ensembl:lncRNA
GUUUAAGAUGGUAAAGCUUACUGUGGAAAGUGGGGCUGUGCAAGAGUGGCAGUGGCAUGGUUUAUUCUUGCUCACUGACCUCAUGCUUGUCCCUGCUGUCAGCAGUGAGGCUCAAAUUGAGAACUGCCACUGGAUAAGCAGGAGAAUCUGAGCUACACCAUCAAGCCUUUUCGUUUGUGCCCGAAGUUUGUAACUUUCAGUCUGUGGAUCUCUAUGAGGGAGGAGCAUUCACACUGGAUUUUCUUAAUGAUUCCUGAUCAUGGAAAAAUUCUUGUCUUGUGGAAGUUCCCUUCUGAAAGUCCAUAGGAAGAAGAAAUCAGGUUCACACUCAGCACCGAGAAUGUCACCAUAGUUAUUAUGAGAAGAAUGUUCUGCUGAUGACAUGGACGUGCUUUCAACAGUUUGGGGAAAAAAGAACAAGUGGUUAUGUUUUGCAAACAUGAAGAUGAGCCUGAGUGUUGGAUUAAGAAAAAGAUUAAGAGAUGGCUUUGUGGAGAUCUUCUGCUCAGAAAUAUUGCUGCGAUCCUCCAACAGCUGCAGAUGGGCCUAAACCACUUCAUGGAAUGCACCAUCCCAGGAGAAGAGAGGAAGUGCACAUAGUUCAAAGAAGGUGAAAGGUGUAAUGUUGAAGGCACAUCACUUUGAACAGCCUGCCUGUGGAGGCAAUGGAGUCACUUAUUCCUGGAGGUUUUCAAGAAAAGAAUAGAUGUGACACUGAAUGACAUGGUGUUGAGUGGUCAUGGCAUGGAUUGACGGUUAGAUUAGAUGAUGUUAUUGAUCUUUCCAACAUUUAUGAUACUGUGAUAAAAAGCCAAGAAAGAGCAUUCUAAGCCUUCAGGAUUACUCUGGUCUUUUCAGAGUAUUUGACCUCUAGAAGAAAAUUUCUGAAAUCCUAUCAAAAGAUAGUGAUGCUAGUCUUCAGUUCCUUCUGUCAUUAUUAAAAAUAUUUGGUUUUGUUUUGGAGAUGUGUGAGGUGAAAAAUUAUUUUGAGAUAAAUAUUUGGGGAUUUGUUUGUUUUCAUUAUUUAAUACUCAAAAAUAUAAGACUAGUUACUGAAAAAAGUUCUCUUCAGUAGAUUUGUGCACUUUGGAUAGGGGAAAGCUUUGUACUGACAACUAAGCUUCAGCUUUUCUAUUAGAGCCUGUAAUAUUAAAGUGUAAAUGGAUUAAUUUAUAGUGAAGCUGCAGAGAUUAGAUUAGAUGACAUGAUCUUGAGCAUAAGUAAUGUUUGAGUUGCAGUACUAUGUCAGUAGAUAUUUGGAUGAUGGAUAAGGGGUAUAUUAUGGUUCCAAAGCACUUUCUGGAGAGAGUUUAACUAAUUCAGGGAUCUGGGCUAGCAGAUUUAUUCUGGCAAGCUUUCUCUGUUACUUCUGACUCAUUUAAAAUGCAUAGUUUGCUCAAAUGUGCUUCAGCUAGCCCUUUUGCACUUAGUUGCUUUGUCUCUUCAGGGGAUAAAGGGACACGUCUAUAACAUUUCAAACCUAGACCUGAUCAAUUCUGCAUCUUUUAUUGUUCUUGUUUUGUGUACUUUUUAUUUUGAGUCUGUGUUUUUUUUCUUUGUUUGUUCCGCUUAUUUUUUUUUUUUUUUCUUUAACUUUCUG